UCCUCCACCCCCACCCACUCUAGCAGCCUGGUCCUCUCCCCCCACCUCGGGCCGGACUCUUUUCACUGUGACACCCGGCCGCUUCUCCCCACGCCCCCCGCGCCUUAGCAACCGGUCGCGCCUGGCCAGCGAGGCCGAGCCCGAGCCCGCUGCCGCCCCGCCCGGUAGGUCCGUGGGGCCCGCGGAGCAUCCGGCUCUACUCGGCGCGGACGGCAGGAUGAAGCAGCCGUUAGUGGAUGACACUGAGGAUGUGUCUCUUGACUUUGGGAAUGAAGAGGAAUUGGCAUUAAGGAAAGCAAAAAUCAGGCAUCCCCUGGCUACUUUUUUUCACCUGUUUUUCCGAGUGAGCGCUAUUGUUACCUACUUGCUCUGUGACUGGUUCAGCAAAAGUUUUGUUGCCUGUUUUGUCAUUAUUCUUCUCCUUCUGUCCUUUGACUUUUGGUCGGUUAAGAAUGUAACUGGAAGACUCUUAGUUGGCUUACGUUGGUGGAACCAGAUUGAUGAAGAUGGAAAAAGCCACUGGGUUUUUGAAGCAAAAAAGGUAUCUGCAAGCAUAGCUGGCUCAACUGAAGUUGAAGCUCGAAUCUUUUGGCUUGGACUAAUUAUCUGUCCAGUUAUUUGGACAGUGUUCUUUUUUAGCACUUUGUUUUCCUUGAAGUUGAAAUGGCUGGCUCUUGUCAUAGCUGGAAUCUCCCUUCAAGCUGCUAACUUAUAUGGAUACAUCCACUGUAAAUUAGGAGGGAAAAAAAGCAUCAGCAAAGUAACUUCAAGGUUUUUGUCACAGCAGAUGUUUCAGAGGGUAAGUAUUAAGGUUCGUUAUUAUUCUCAGUAGUUGCAUCAUGCAUGUGUUUUCCACAGCAGCUUUUAAGGAAUUGGGCAUUAUGCUGAUUUACACUUUGAUAAACAUGAUUGAGGAACGCCAGGUUGUGCUUUAUAGUGAGUUGUGUUCAUCACAUAUACAUCUAAGUGGACCUACAGAUUUCCUGUGCACGAAUAAUAUCAGUGCACAAGUCUGUCAACACUUUUAAAGUCUCAGACUAGUGGUCCCUCUUUCUGAAAUGCAAAAUUAAUGUUUAAUCUGAAAAACCAGUUUGGGAAUUGUACGGUCUAACUGCUGCACUGCAAAAGAGUAAGUGUGACCUGAGCAGAGAAGCCAGAAGGAUCCAUUGACAAGGACUGCUUUGCAAUAAAUGAAGAAGUUUGUUGAAAAGUGGCCUGUAAUUAGGACCUAUAAAAUUGUCUUGGUAUUUGUUUGAGUUCUAUUCAUGGUUUGGGGUAUGGUACAAGAAAAUAUCUUCCUGUUGCUACUACACUCUUUUCUUUUAUGGAUGUGGAUGGCAACGACCAACAAAUCAAUUUCUACUUUCCCAAAAGGUGCAGAAUUGAGUAGCUUAAGAAAAUAAGCACCAUUUUUUCCAAUGCAUUGUGGAAAAAGUGACCAUGUAACUUUUCUAAAUUGUCUUGUUUGCAUGAAUGAGGUAUAAAAGAAUUAGACAAUGUGUUUUAUAACAAACCCAUUCUGUGCUCUUGUAUUACCUCCUUGGAGUAGUUAAGAUUAAGAUUUUGUAAAGUACUUUAGAGGCGUCAGCAAAAAUGAUUGCAGUAGAUGUUCUAGAUCAGGGAUCUCAAACUCAAAUCACCACGAGGGCCACAUGAGGAAUAGUACGUUGGCCCGAGGGCCGCAUCACUGACCUCCUGCACCCAUGCUGCCAUCGGCCCCGCCCCCAUUCCACCCCUUCCAUGAGCCCCCGCCUCUUCCUGCCCCUGCCCCGCCUCUUCUUCACCUCCUCCCUUGGCGGCGGGAAGCACCUGCAGGUAGGUAGAGGAGUGGGGACACGGUGUGCGGGGGGGGGGGGGGGUGAAGGAGCCUGGUGGGCUGCAGGAAAUAACUCUGGGGGUUCAGGGAGCUUGGCGGGCCACAGGAAAUAACUCCAUGGGCCGCGUGUUUGAGACCCCUGCUCUAGAUACUAAUGCUGGAGCAGCAUUAGGUUAGUAGAACAUCAUCUUUAGCUUUCAUGUGUUCAUUCUACAGGAGAGACAAGAAGAAAUUCAGGGUAUGGAUGUCCUGAAGGAUAUGGAAAUACAUAACCACUAGGUGACUGUACACUGAUCACUAAAGAGGAGACAAUCCUAAAUUUAAGUGACUGCACUCUAAAUAUGGAACUCUACUAAUCAAAGAAAAAGAUGUCGAAGUGAUCUUAUCCAAUGAAACACAGCAUGGAAAUGCACACUACAAUUAAUCCUCAAAUGAAGGAGGCUUGAAAGUACUAAUAUUUAAAAAAGAGACUCAGAGACUGUCCAGUUUGACCAAAGUACAUGGCAGAGGGGCAUUGCUGGCACAUGAUGGCAUAUAUCACAUUGGUGGAUGUGCAGGUGAAUGAGCCUCUGAUAGUGUGGCUGAUGUGAUUAGGCCCUAUGAUGGUGUCCCCUGAAUAGAUAUGUGGACACAAUUGGCAACGGGCUUUGUUGCAUAUCACUAAAACUUCAGAAUUUUGUACAAAGUGAUGAUUCUGCAGUAUUAUAGUCUUCAAAAGCAAUAAAGUUCAUUUUAUGUUCUGUUA